UACAGAGGUCUCAAGCGUUGUUCGGAUUCAUUGGGCGUAAAGGGCUCGUAGGCGGCCAACUAAGUCGGAUGUGAAAUCCCCAGGCUUAACCUGGGAUUUGCAUCCGAUACUGGAUGGCUUGAAUCCGGGAGAGGGAUGCGGAAUUCCAGGUGUAGCGGUGAAAUGCGUAGAUAUCUGGAGGAACACCGGUGGCGAAGGCGGCAUCCUGGACCAACACUGACGCUGAUGAGCGAAAGCCAGGGGAGCAAACGGG
rnacentral:rRNA from 1 species